AUGUGCAUGUAUAUAAAGUGCAUGUAUAUAAGCAUAUGUGGAAAUAUGUCUAUUGUAUAAUGUGCAUGUAUAUAAAGUGCAUGUAUAUAAGCAUAUGUGGAAAUAUGUCUAUUGUGUGACGGACCAUGCAAAAACUAUGUGGUGUGAAUUGUGCAUUAGGAACGUGCAGGUAAAACAGGUGUGUUUCCCACUGGACACUUGUUGCAUAUGGGAAAGAAUAUGCGCAAGUAUGCCAAGAUGCAAACGCAAACGGACGGAGUUCGGGUUGAACCUGCUAAUUGUUGCACUUCACUUUUCGUUUAAGCGGACCAGCGCGGUACCGGCGUUAGACGAGAUGAGGCCCUUGGAUAAGGGACGGACAGCGGGAUGCUGUUCCGUUGUGGGGGUCGGCGGACAGACCGACAGUGAACAAAUAUGGCGUAUCCAACGCCAGGAACAAGCUGGGGCGAACGGUCGCAGGCUGCACAGGACUUGGAAGGAACAGGAGGUGCACCUGAAGAUCCGGCUCGAAGGACAAUGUUGGCGUGGGGCGUUGGGGGUGAAAGUCCAAAAACCGCAAGGGAAGUAAAAUUGCGUCUGCUUUCCUUUUCACUGUGACGUGACUCGCACUGGCGCUUAGCUGCCCAUAUGAAAGAGGGAGAGGCCGCCGACGCUAGCAGCGCUCUGCCAGCAGAUGUUGCUGGCAAGCGUUGCCAUGUCAACACUGGCAGAGUGCUGCCACAUCAACACACAUCAUGUCACAUAAAUUUAAUUAUUUUUUAUAUACUAUAUUUUUAUACUACUAUUUGUGCAACAUUCACAUAUUUAACUUGCAUUUGCUUAUCACAUUAUACUUAUAUAUUGCACAUCAUAUCACAUAAAUUUAAUUAUAUAUAUACUAUAUUAUACUACUAUUGCACAACAUUCACAAAUCUAACUUGUACUGCUUAUCACAUAGUAAUUAUAUAUUGCACAUUGUAUCAUUUAAAUUUAAUUACAUUUAUACUAUACUAUUAUGCAACUAUGUACAACACUCACAAAUUUAACUUACCAUUUGGUGCUGCUUCGGAUUCUCCCCGCAUUCCCUCCACUCUUUUAAAAGGGAAGGAUUAAGACAUUUGUUGAGAAAAAUUAAAAUACAAGGUGUAUUCCAAAGUAAACAGGACUUAAAAAAAACAGAACAAAUGGUUUAUUCGGCAAAA